GCGGCGGAGGCUGGGCUCCUGAGCGGGGUUUGGAGAGAUGCGAACUGCAUCCGGAGCGCGACUUCGCUUAUUGUCUGGGUUACGGAGUUGGCCUACGGGACCGCGCAGCCUCGCGUUCAUCCCUAGCGCGGUUGCGGUCUGAAGGGAGCGAAGCUCCCUGCCGGGCACAGGCGGUUUUCUGUAUGCCCGGGAGCAGCUGCUCGGAUCCAGUGAUGGAUCGGAGCUCGAAGAGGAGGCAGGUGAAGCCUUUGGCAGCUUCCCUGCUGGAAGCUUUAGAUUAUGACAGUUCAGAUGACAGUGACUUUAAGGUUGGAGAUGCUUCAGAUUCUGAAGGCAGUGGACAUGGCAGUGAAGAUGGAUCAAAGGAUAGCGGAGAAGGCUCCUGUAGUGAAUCAGAAGAAAAUAUAUUGGAGGAAGAGCUGGCAGAAGAAGAAGAUGAAGAAGGGAAAAAAACAAAGGAAGAACCUAAAAAUUCAGGUGGAGAAGAGCUGCCAAUAACAGAGAAAGAGAUCAUUAAAACUGAGAAAGAAGAGGAGGAAGAAGAUAGAGAAGGAGAAGAGAAGGCAAAAAAGAAAAAGGAGAAAGAAAAAGAGAGAGAGAAACCAAAUGAAGGAGAUGCUGGUGUUGAUGAGCAAACAAAUGAGCCCAAAAAGUGGAACUUGAGAAGAAAUCGCCCUCUCUUAGAUUUUGUAUCCAUGGAGGAACUAAAUGAUAUAGAUGACUAUGACAGUGAAGAUGACAAUGAUUGGCGCCCAACUGCAGGGAAAAAGAAAGGGAAAAACACAUUUCGCAGAGAAGGAAGUGAUGGUGACAAUGAGGAUGAUGAAGAUGAUGGGAGUGGAAGUGAUGAGGAUGACAAUGAAGAGGAAGGCAAUGAUGAUGAAGAUAGCAGUGCUGCUAGUGAUGGUGAAUCCAAGAAGAAAAAAAACAAAGCUCUUAGCAGAAAUAGUGUUGAUGAGGAGGAGCUGACAAAUGAUAGCCUGGCUCUUUCACAAAGCAAGAGCAAUGAGGACUCGCUGAUUCUUGAAAAAUCUCAGAACUGGAGCUCCCAGAAAAUGGACCAUAUUAUGAUUUGUUGUGUUUGCCUUGGGGAUAAUAGUGAAGAUGCUGAUGAAAUAAUCCAGUGUGACAAUUGUGGAAUAACAGUACACGAAGGUUGUUAUGGUGUUGAUGGUGAAAGUGAUUCUAUUAUGAGCUCUGCUUCCGAAAAUUCCACUGAACCAUGGUUCUGUGAUGCUUGCAAAUGCGGUGUCUCUCCAAGCUGUGAACUUUGUCCCAAUCAAGAUGGAAUCUUCAAGGAGACAGAUGCUGGCAGAUGGGUCCACAUUGUUUGUGCACUCUAUGUUCCCGGGGUGGCAUUUGGAGAUAUUGACAAAUUGCGACCAGUAACGCUUACAGAAAUGAACUAUUCCAAGUAUGGUGCUAAGGAAUGUAGCUUCUGUGAAGAUCCUCGUUUUGCCAGAACUGGUGUUUGCAUUAGCUGUGAUGCUGGGAUGUGUCGAGCUUAUUUCCACGUGACUUGUGCUCAGAAAGAAGGCCUAUUGUCAGAAGCUGCAGCAGAGGAGGAUAUUGCAGAUCCUUUCUUUGCUUACUGUAAACAACAUGCAGACAGAAUGGAUAGAAAAUGGAAGCGAAAGAACUAUUUGGCUUUGCAGUCCUACUGCAAAAUGUCUUUGCAAGAGAGAGAAAAACAACUUUCACCUGAAGCUCAGGCCCGAAUUAAUGCUAGACUUCAGCAGUACCGUGCUAAAGCAGAACUAGCACGCACCACAAGACCACAGGCAUGGGUUCCAAGAGAGAAACUCCCACGGCCACUCACUAGCAGUGCUUCAGCAAUACGUAAGCUCAUGCGCAAAGCUGAAUUAAUGGGCAUUAGUACAGACAUCUUUCCAGUUGACACUUCAGACACCAGUUCCAGUGUGGAUGCAAGACGAAAGCAUAAACAGCCAGCAUUGACUGCUGAUUUUGUGAAUUAUUAUCUUGAGAGGAAUAUGCGCAUGAUCCAAAUUCAGGAGAAUAUGGCAGAACAGAAGACAAUUAAGGAUAAGCUGGAAAAUGAACAGGAAAAACUUCAUGUAGAAUAUAACAAGUUAUGUGAAUCCUUAGAAGAACUUCAGAAUAUGAAUGCAAAACUGCGAAAUGAAGGGCAAGGAAUGUGGGCUCUCCUGGGAAGAAUAAUUGGACAGAAACUGAAUAUACCAGCAAUUUUGCGAGCACCCAAGGAGAGAAAGCCCAGUAAAAAAGAAGGUGGAACCCAUAAGACUGCAACCCUUCCAGCAGUACUUUAUAGUUGUGGGAUUUGCAAGAAGAACCAUGAUCAGCACCUCCUUUUGCUGUGUGAUACUUGUAAACUCCAUUAUCAUCUUGGAUGUCUGGACCCUCCACUUUCAAGGAUGCCAAGGAAGACUAAAAACAGUUACUGGCAGUGUUCAGAAUGUGACCAAGCAGGUAGCAGUGACAUGGAAGCAGACAUUGCCAUGGAAACUUUACCAGAUGGAACUAAGCGAUCAAGGAGGCAGAUUAAGGAGCCAGUAAAAUUUGUUCCGCAGGAUGUACCCCCAGAACCAAAGAAGAUUCCUAUCAGAAACACGAGGACUAGAGGACGAAAACGAAGCUAUCUUCCAGAAGAAGAAAAACCUGAGGAACGGAUUCCAAGAGAAAGAAGGCAAAGACAAUCUGUAGUACAAAAGAAGCCUAAGUCUGAGGAUUUAAGAACAGAAUGUGCUACAUGUAAGGGAACUGGAGACAAUGAAAAUCUAGUCAGACGAUGUGAUCUGUGUACACAGACGGUCUGUCAGUUUUGAAAUUUGAGGUGAAAUUGCUGCAAAAUAAUUCAGGCAUAAUCACUCAAGAUAAGAACAGCUUAAAAGAUACUCUUCAUGAGACACUACUCUGCCACAACUCGUCCUCGGAGACAGUCCUGGAAACUACUGUAUAAAUACUAUUUUAAGCUAUGGAUAUAACUUUCAGUAGAAAUCAGAUUAAGAGAAAGCAGUGUAUUAUCUUUAUUAUAUUCCUAGCCAAAUCAAAAGCCUGGGGUUUGCUUGCAUUGUUUGGAAACUGUAACCAAUUGGUAUGUUACUUGGACUGACAAGACAUUAAUACACUUGAUUUCUUUUUCUUUCUUUGCUCUAAUCAAGCACAUUUGAUACACGUGUUGCUGAAAAGUAAUCUAUAAAUGCCUUGUCUAAAUUAUUAUAUUAAAUAAUUUUGUCUCCUGCUGCAGUUCCUUGGCAAAUAAUAAUGUACAGUACUUGGACUUCCUGAAAAUAACAGAAACUUAUGGGGCUAAAAAAAAAUAUGUAAAGAUACUGAAUGGGGAAAGAAAUGCUUUGUCAUGUGUUGGCUGCUUUAUUUUCUGUGAUCUUAAUCAGCAAAAUCUUAUUAAGUGAUGAGCUAUAUGUAAAAGGUUUGCUUUGUGUAACAUAUUGAGCAUAGUAACAAUUAAAUACCUGUAAAAGAUUUCAGACACUGAUAUUAUAUCAGCAUUUAACCUAAUAUUAUAUCAGCAUUUUAUCUCAUUUAUGGAAUGAACACAAAUAGCUCACUAAUGUGAAAAGGAUAAUUCUUAUCUUGGGGGAUUGUCUCAGUGAGUUCAGGACAGCGAUGCUUCCUUUUAACCUGAUAACAAUUCCAAUAAUCAUUUUAUUGGAAAUAAAAAACAAGUCACUCAGUACUUCCAAACAAAGAUGAUCAUUAAUAUUCUGUGUUUUGGCAUAAAAGUUAUUUAUUUUCAAAUAAUUUUAUCUGUGGUUUAAAGAAACAAUUUGUGCAUUGUAUUUAUAUUGUUGAAACUGUAUGUUGCAAUCUAGCAUAGAUAGUGACUCAUGAGGAGAGAACUUGGAGGUUUCUUCAGAAUAUUUAUUACAUAUACUCUCAGAACUGAAAAGUGGUUUGGUUCUUCAGAAGGAUAAAAAUUGACCAAGUAACUGGGUGGAUUGUUUUAUGUGCACUUUGUCAGACCACAACCAUUUCACUGGGAAUUCUUAAUACAUUAUAUGGUAGUAUCCCAGGGCAUUUUACAAUAUCCUGUGAAAGAUAUUUUAUAACCAGUAUAUGAAAAUGGGAAAAUGGAAUACUAUCAGGAUGUAUAAAACUAUAGAAUAUGAUAUGUCUAGAAGAUGUAUAUGAUCUGGAUGUUUAAUAAAAUAACUUGAUUUCAUCAA